CCUACGGGAGGCAGCAGUGAGGAAUAUUGGUCAAUGGACGAGAGUCUGAACCAGCCAAGUAGCGUGAAGGAUGACUGCCCUAUGGGUUGUAAACUUCUUUUAUAAAGGAAUAAAACGAGGCACGUGUGCCUUUUUGCAUGUACUUUAUGAAUAAGGAUCGGCUAACUCCGUGCCAGCAGCCGCGGUAAUACGGAGGAUCCGGGCGUUAUCCGGAUUUAUUGGGUUUAAAGGGAGCGUAGAUGGGUUGUUAAGUCAGUUGUGAAAGUUUGCGGCUCAACCGUAAAAUUGCAAGUGAUACUGGCAGUCUUGAGUACAGUUGAGGUAGGCGGAAUUCGUGGUGUAGCGGUGAAAUGCUUAGAUAUCACGAAGAACCCCGAUUGCGAAGGCAGCUUACGAAACUGUGACUGACAUUGAUGCUCGAAGGUGUGGGUAUCAAACAGGAUUAGAUACCCUAGUAGUC
rnacentral:rRNA from 1 species